UGCAGCAGGCGGGCGCGCGGAUGCAGGACGCGAGAGGGGUCGCGCACGCCUCAACUCCCUCAGCCCCAUUUGCUCCUUCACGAUUCCCACCCACGAGCUAGGGUUUGGGCUGUCCUCCUCCUGCCGCCAUCCGCACCGCCGCCUCCUCCGGCCGCCAUUCACACCGGCCAGCGCCAUCGUCCACGCCAGUCGUCGACAGGCACGCCGCCCUCCUGUCGCCACCCAUGGCCUCCUCCCGUCGCCUUCGCACGACCUCCUUUUGCCUCCAAACCGCGCCGUCCUAUCCUCCGCUGCCACCCAAGGUGGUCGGCGCCGCCGCCGCCCUCUCCCUCCGACUUGUGCAGUACCGUCCUCAGUCUGCGCACCGUCCGGAGUCUCCGGCGCCUCGUCAGUCGUCGUGGUCGUCCAUAGAUCCACAACCGCCGGUGCAUCUGUCGUCUGCGUGCACGACCGCCGAUGGCUCCUCCGUCCUCCCCCCAAACCACACUAGAUCCGAAAGACGGAGUGUCCUACCGCCAGAAGAAGCCAACGCCAUCGUCUUCCCAUCGCCAGCAGCAUGAAAUUCAUUCUUGCUGUUUGUUGUUUGCCGCCGCCGGAAGAAGCCCACUACUCCACUCAGAUUGGGCUAGGCCUGACAGGCUUUGGAGUAUUCUUCUCCUUCCUGGGAAUAGUUUUCUUCUUUGACAAGGGGCUUAUUGCAAUGGGAAAUAUUCUCCUCCUGUCAGGUUUGGUUUUGACAAUUGGUCUGAAAUCAACUAUGCAAUUCUUCACCAAGCCUAAGAAUUCUCGCACCCAUAUUUACAACUUGCGAAAUCUGGAUUAAAUUCAUUGACACUUUACCAACCAAUGAGUUGGUUAAAGCUAUUGAAGAUCUAAUCACAGAUUUAGGUCAUUCCCUUCCGCACCAAGAGCAACUGCUGGAUGGUGAAACAGGAGGACAAAUCCUGAGAAAUAAUGCCCCUGCUGAUUUACAGUCAAGGCAAAGGAGAGGUUUCCGAGAGAGGAUUAAAGCAUGAUUGCAAGUAUCUCAGAUGGGUUCGUAGUAAUACAAUCCCUGUUGAGUUGGAUGAGUAAAAUGUUCCAUAUGUAAAUUUCUGGUUUUGAUGAGAUCGUGUAUAAGCCGUUUGUCAGUUGGAGAGUAAGUGUAAUCUUCAGUAUGACACUAAAGAUAGAAAAAUAAGAAGACAAGACGCCGUAAGAUACUGAUAUGUACAUUUUUCAUUCACCAGAACAAUUCAGUGAUUUGUCAAUAUAGCGUUCAAAUGUAAGUCUACAAUUGAUCAUUUGAGGAUUGUACAAUGAGUUUGAUAAAAUACAGAUUAUGAUUAGUAUGAAGCCCUCAUGUAAGAAACAACUCCU